rnacentral:rRNA from 1 species
UACGGAGGGUCCAAGCGUUAUCCGGAAUCAUUGGGUUUAAAGGGUCCGUAGGCGGUUUAAUAAGUCAGUGGUGAAAGCCCAUCGCUCAACGAUGGAACGGCCAUUGAUACUGUUAAACUUGAAUUAUUAGGAAGUAACUAGAAUAUGUAGUGUAGCGGUGAAAUGCUUAGAGAUUACAUGGAAUACCAAUUGCGAAGGCAGGUUACUACUAAUAUAUUGACGCUGAUGGACGAAAGCGUGGGAGCGAACAGG